rnacentral:rRNA from 1 species
UACGUAGGGUGCGAGCGUUAAUCGGAAUUACUGGGCGUAAAGCGUGCGCAGGCGGCGCGUUAAGACAGGUGUGAAAGCCCCGAGCUUAACUUGGGAAUUGCGCUUGUGACUGGCGUGCUGGAGUGUGGCAGAGGGAGGUGGAAUUCCACGUGUAGCAGUGAAAUGCGUAGAGAUGUGGAGGAACACCGAUGGCGAAGGCAGCCUCCUGGGCCAGCACUGACGCUCAUGCACGAAAGCGUGGGGAGCGAACGGG